CCUAAACAGUCACAGCUCCUGGAGGGCCAGACGGGCAGGGGUCUUCCUCCACGGGGAUGCACAGACCAACUGAUGGCCCAGGAAACCUUCCUCUGCCCUUAUGUUUCUAUUUCUUUUAUCAGUACCGGGGAUCGAAUUCACGACCGCCUGCUUGCAAGGCAGGUACUUGUGCCACUGAGCUAAAUCCCCAGCCCUGUGUUUGUAUUUCUGAGACAGAGUUUCGUCAUGCAGUUCAGGCUAGCCUGGAAUUCACUAUGCAGUCUAGGCUGGUCUCGAACUCGCUAAGUUCCACAGCCUCGCUCGUGCCGGGUUACAGACGUGCGCCCCGCGCCCGGCCGGCCCGAGCAGCUCGGAACUGUGACGCCAGCAGCUUCACUCGGAACCGCGCGCGGCAGGCACGACCUCGCCGCGCUGACGCCACCCUGGCGCGGGCGGCAGGAUACACCGACAGCCACGCGGGGGAGAACCGCAGGGCUGGGAGGGGCGCCGGGGCGCCAGCUCGCCGGGCUCCCCACUCGCCCGAGGGGAGGCCCCAACGGUCCCGGGCCUCCAGACCGUCAAAAUCAGCGGAGACUGUCUCGGGAAGAGGCCCCAGCGCCCGCCCGGUUCCGGGUGAGCCAGAACCUUCGAGCGAUGCGCCCACCCCGGCAACCCGCCUUUUCUCAGAAGCCUCGGCUUUCCGGGCUGGAGCCCCCGCAGCGGGAAGCGCCCGGCAAUCGCCGACGUGCCGUCAGGUGCGUCACUCCACUUCCGGGCGCCGCCCGCUGUGCGCCUGCGCCCCGCGCCGGGCGGCGGGUCUGGGCAGCGCCCUCUGCAGACGCGCCUAGAAACCUAAACGCGGCGGAGAGACCAUAAAGGUGUCAGGUACUGCAGCUCAGUCUUUGUGAAAGUGCGCGAUGCGAUGCAGAUCCCUGUAGCGAUGUGAGUGUGGGGAGUCAAAUACAGAUUGCAGAAGAUCUGUCCACACACCAGAGACCCGAAGAAGAACCCUGUUGAGGGCCUAGAUCCCACAGCAAUGUCUUGCACAAGUCCAGCUGUUGAUCUAGAGCCCACGGUGAUGAGUCCAGCUGAAGGCCUAGAGCCCACAACAAUGUCUCUCUUUAAGUCUGUAUCAAGGAUCUGCACUGGGAAAGCCCAAAGGCCUGUAGUGGAAGCUAAAAAGUCUGUGUCAGCAGGAUGAAGGGUCAGUGCCAACAGGCUGAGCGAUCUGCACUGGAGCCAGAAAGGGUUGUUCAAGGAGGAAUGUGACCUGGGGACUGCCACUGAGUCACUGGCCUGGGAAUGGCUCAGCAGCACCCACUGUCGGGUCCUCCUGAUGGGACCUAAUGACAGCUGCAGCUGCCAGCUUCUCACAUCCCAGUGAAUGGAUUCAAGAUGGGGCUGAACCUGGUGUUUACUCAGAUUCCUGAUUUCCUCAAAGAAAUGCCCACCUAAUGGACUUGCUGUAGCUACCACCCUUGAUUCCUAAACCUAGAAAGGCCGCUUAGAAAGGAAACCAUGGUUCUUGUUCCCUAAGAGUAUUAGGACAGCACUGCCAUUUGAGCUCCUUGGACAAAAAAUGCUUUGGAAAUGUGAAGCCUCUCAAAAUUCCUCUACUGGCCAAACUCCUUGUAAGAAAGUGAUACUCCUUGACCACACAAAUAUUGUCUGCUGCUCUCUCCAUUCCAUUCUGCAGUAGAUUAGUGCUCUACAAAAGCACUGUAAAUGGGGCAUGGUGGUGGAAGGACUUUGGCCCAGUUGGGACACUGUAGCUGGUGUAAAGCCUUGGAGGUGGAACCAGGGGGCUCUAUCAUCCCCACCCCUAGGAAUUUACCUGUGGUGCGAAAUGAAUUACUAAUGCCCCUCAGGCACCACCCCAAACCUAAGCUACAUGUAUAUCCCCACACCACAUGUCCAACAGAGAGAUUGCCAGACCCCAGAGGGUCGGGGGUCUCUCCCCGCAUUUUUAAAAUAAAGGUCAUUUAUACUUCAUACUUCUUAUCUUUUCAGUCACACCACAAUUCCAUCAGUGGCACAUGCUAUGAUCCCAGCAUUCUGGGAGGCUAAGGCAGGAAGACUGAAAGUUCAAGCUCAGUUUGAGCACUUUAGUGUCUUAGCAAGACCCUGUCUCAAAAUUAAAAAUAAUAAAGAGA